GUCUACGGCCAUGCCACCCUGAACGUGCCGGAUCUCGGCUGAUCUCGGAAGCUAAGCAGGGUCGGGCCUGGUUAGUAUUUGGAUGGGAGACCACAUUGGAAGACUAGAUGCUGUAGGCG
rnacentral:rRNA from 1 species